GUUGUGUGUUACGGGCGUAUGGUGGAUGCCUUGGCAUGCUGAGCCGAUGAAGGACGUGUGAGACUGCGUUAAGCCUCGGGGAGUUGUCAACAAAGCGUUGAUCCGAGGGUGUCCGAAUGGGGAAACCUAGCCGUGGUUGUGUGCGGUUACCUGCUGGUGAAUACAUAGCCGGUGUGGGGGUGUACGCGGGGAAGUGAAACAUCUCAGUACCCGCAGGAGAAGAAAACAAUUGUGAUUCCGUGUGUAGUGGCGAGCGAAAGCGGAUGAUGGCUAAACCGUGUGUGUGUGAUACUUGGUAGGGGUUGCGCAUGCGGUGUUGUGGGGUGCGGGUGUGUAUGGUCUACCAGCUGUGCGCAUGUGUUGCGGUGUGAGCGGAAGUGUCUGGGAUGGCACGCCGGAGUGGGUGAUGAGCCCCGUACGUGUAGGCACCGCAAGAUGUGUUACCCGUAAUCCCCGAGUAGCAGCGGGCUCGUGGAAUCUGCUGUGAAUCUGCCGGGACCACCCGGUAAGCCUGAAUACUCAGUGUGACCGAUAGUGAAUAGUACCGUGAGGGAAUGGUGAAAAGUACCCCGGGAGGGGAGUGAAAGAGUUCCUGAAACCAUGCGCUUACAAUCCGUCAGAGCACCGUUUUGUGGUGUGAUGGCGUGCCUUUUGAAGAAUGAGCCUGCGAGUCAGCGGCAUGUCGCGAGGUUAAC
rnacentral:rRNA from 1 species